CUAUUUUCUCUUGCUCUCUGUUCCAGCGGCCUCCUAGGCCCAACGACCAGCAGCUCCUCCCACGAGCUGGCAUGUGGAUGUGGGGUGGUGGGAGGCAGGGCUGUGGGGCAGGGGCAGCUGGCUGGUGGGCUUGCUGGUUUUGAUCCUAAGCUGCAAUUUGGCUAAAAAUAAGGAGGAGGAAGAAGAAAGACUCAGAUGUCAACAAAAGGGGAAUGAAAGUACUUUGGACCUUGGAGUGUGAACGGGACUUGAGCUUACACUUUUCUAGCUGUGUUACCUGCGAAGGAGCUUCAAACCUUUGAGACUCAGUUUCCAACUUGAUGUUGAAGCAUCCUACCAUCCCUGGAAUGAAUGUGUGAUCCUUUUAAGGCCCACAGCUGGCACUCAAGACCUGGAGCAUGGUGUGAUUCAAGCUAUAUUUUCAUCCAUAGAUGUCUAGAGGGCAGAGGAUGGGUGGGAAAUGGUUGAGGGAGGAAGACCAGUUGGAAAAGAAUAAGUGUCUGAAAAAGGCAGGGGCCCUGAGGAUGGUGCAGAGAGGAAGUAUUUGUUAAAUACAUUUGCAAGUUCCCACAAAAUGUCAUGAAGUUUCUAGAGUGUAUUUAAUUGAGUUGGAAGAUUGCGGUCUCAUUUGUUCAAGUCUCUUGCCCUUCUAGAACCCAAAAUUCCUCAUCUGGAAAUAUGGAGUUUAAAAUACUAUUCCCUUAAUGAUUGCUAUAUUUCAAAAUAAGAUACAUCUUCUUAAAAAAGAAAAUGUUUCCAAACUUAAGACAAAUUAUGAAGUGUAAUGUAACCAAUACCCAU